AUGGAGGGCAGAGUGGGGGCUGGGCGGCUGCCAGAGCCUUCAGGCCCGGCUCUGGGCUGGCCACCCUCCCUCCAGGCUCUCGGAGGAGCCUCCGCGCAGGGCCAGGCUGGACGGGAGGCUGAAGGGCCGCCGGUAUUUAUGGCCCAUUAUCUAAGGAGCAGAUUAAACAAACGAGUCAGGGCUUCCUCAUUAGCAGUGUGGAGCUGCCUGCUUUGCUGCUCAGUGGCCUCAUUAACAUUAAUUAUUAGAAGAGGCCUGUCCUUCUCCAUAGCCUGGCUCGGCCGGAUAAAUGUCUGCGGGCAGAAGAGGGCCGCCCGCCCUCCUCCGAGGCUCGGGCUCACUCGGCUGGGCUUGGGGGCUAAAAGAAAAGGCCCGAAACCCAGAGGCGGCCCCGACGUCCCUCCCAGGACAUUUAAGACAGGCCUCCGGGGAGGGGAACCUCCGGGCUCUCCCCACACCAGGCUGCGUCUAGCCGUCCUCCAGCCCUCUCUCCUUCCCUCGUCCUCCCCUGGCAGGCCGGGACACCCUCGUCUUCUCUUCCUCUGCUCGGCCCGAAGUCCGGCCUGCUGGGGAUGGCCGUCUAGCCGUCCUCCAGCCCUUUCUCCUUCCCUCGUCCUCCCCUGCAGGCCGGGACACCCUCGUUGCCUUCUCUUCCUCUGCUCGGCCGGAAGUCCGGCCUGCUGGGGAUGCACAAGUUGCCUUUUGUUUUUGAAAAUGUGCCGGGGAAGAACUUUCUCUCUUCUGUCCACUGGACGACGCAAAGAGAGACCGAUCUAG
rnacentral:lncRNA from 1 species